ensembl:lincRNA
AUGCUAACCAGAUCUCUGUUACAAAAGAAAGUCAUUACUUGGAAAAUUGAAAGAAACUGGCCUGCGGAUGCUAAGAGACGAAAGGUGGAUGACACUGCCCACAGUAAUGCCCAUUGCCGGGCCUGGUGGGCAGCAGACGCCAACCCAGUGCAGAAUAUCCCGGUCCGUGCGGAGCACGCAGGUUUGACAUACGCCAAACCCCUGCCGUCCGGCUCGUCGCACUGCCCCUGCCAAAGCAACAAACGCGCAGACCCUCUCAACGCGGUCAAGAGCAGAGCUGCCGCCGCCGAUCAGCGCUUCCAGGGAAACGCGCGUCCCGGGCAGAUCCAGGUAACUGAACAUGUUAUCUGGAAACAGAAAGCACUGAGUCUCUUCAUUUCUGUUUUGUCUGGGCUCUUUCAGGUAAGCAUAAUAGAAACGUAAUUCAAAUUAACCAAAAAAGGGAAACUUAUGAGCUCGCUCAACUAAUAAGAAGCCAACACGUCUGGAUUCAGGUUAUAAAACAAUGUCGCUUGAUCUUGGUCUUGCUUUCUCAAUCUCUCUGCUGUGCUUCCCUUUGUCUUGGCUCCAUUUCUAGUCAGCAUCUCCCUGUGGUGAGAUCCUGCCAGAAGCCCCAAGCUUACAUCCUAUAUUCUCUCAGCAAUGCCCAGAACUUCCUUUUUAGUGUUCACCUUGCAAAAUUUCUAUUUGCAACAAUUCUGUCAAUAGGAUGGUUUUGAUUGAUAAGAUUUGCUCACAUGCCCAUCUCUGAACCAAGCAUUUCAGUCAGUAGAGUAUAAUAUGCAUGCAGACAGGGAGUGAGACUGGUUCUCUAAGGAAAAUUGAAAUGUUUUCAUCAGAAGAAGAGGAUACGGAUGCUGGAUAGAGGAAAAGCAGGCACUAUCCACUCUGCCAUAUUUAAACCUUUUUCAAUAUUUUCAAUAUUUAAACCUAUGAUUUUUGGGGGGAUGUGUGUGAAUUUUUGUUUAUGUUAUGGCUGCUACUUUUCACUCACUUUCUUAGCAUUAAUUUCCUCCCUCCUUCCCUUCCUUCCUGCUUUCCUUCCUUCGUAUGUCCCUCUAAAUACAACCUUCCCUGUUUAGCAGUUUUGUGGUUUCUCCAGUUCCUGGGCUUCCAGGCCAGACUUUGAUCUUAUUCUAUAGUGUUAUAGAUCCAAUUCCUUCUCCAGAGUCAAAUUCUGGCUGUGAGACUGUGCCUGGCUCUUCUGCAUCCCCUAGUAUGUCGAUUUGUUCAAGCCUGCAGUCGUAAGCCGGAGAAGGAAAUGGCAACCCACUCCAGUGUUCUUGCCUGGAGAAUCCCAGGGACGGGGGAGCCUGGUGGGCUGCUGUCUAUGGGGUCGCAUAGAGUCGGACAUGCUGAAGCGACUUAGCAGCAGCAGCAGCGGUCUUAAGCAGCUUCCUUCAAGGGGGUACUCCUGUCCGACCCUUGAUUUCAGGUACCUUACACAGAAGAUGCUUAGCCCCUGACACCUUGUAUGAGUCCAGCUCCUGAAUUCCUUUGUUUGCUUUCGGCCGAACAAAAGGAAGGCCUUCAGCUCGAGGCCACUUACUUCGUUAUUUCCAUUCCAUUUCUGGGCAGCAGAGGUCUUUCUGAGUGUGAACAAAGCUGACUCUUUCCUAUUUUACAUCUCAUCUAUUAUCACCAUUGUCUUGGUUUAGAGUGGUCCUCAGAGCACUGUAAGUCCACUCCCAUUUGCUCUUUACUGUUCAAUAUCCUCCUCCCCUCUCACCUUCCUCUUGGAAAUUGUACUCUCUGAGGUCAAUGCUGCCAUUUCUCAGUCAAUGAAAUAAAUAGCUUUUCCCUUCAGUCCUCAUUUUCUUCACUCGUCUGCAGCACCCAGCCACAUUGAUUGCUCUUCCUUUGGCACCUCUCUGCCUUUGGCUAAUACUGUGCUCCACUGACCUGGUUCACUACCUCUUCUGAUUCUUCCCCUUUUAAACCUACUUUAAAGGGCAGAAACGGUAUGGACCUAACAGAAGCAGAAAAUAUUAAGAAGAGGUGGCAAGAGUACACAGAAGAACUGUACAGAAAAGAUCUUCACGACCCGGAUAAUCACGAUGGUGUAAUCACUCAUCCAGAGCCAGACAUCCUGGAAUGUGAAGUCAAGUGGGCCUUAGAAAGCAUCACUACGAACAAAGCUAGUGGAGGUGAUGGAAU